rnacentral:rRNA from 1 species
GAUGAACGCUGGCGGCGUGCCUAAUACAUGCAAGUCGAGCGAACGGACGAGAAGCUUGCUUCUCUGAUGUUAGCGGCGGACGGGUGAGUAACACGUGGAUAACCUACCUAUAAGACUGGGAUAACUUCGGGAAACCGGAGCUAAUACCGGAUAAUAUUUUGAACCGCAUGGUUCAAAAGUGAAAGACGGUCUUGCUGUCACUUAUAGAUGGAUCCGCGCUGCAUUAGCUAGUUGGUAAGGUAACGGCUUACCAAGGCAACGAUGCAUAGCCGACCUGAGAGGGUGAUCGGCCACACUGGAACUGGGACACGGUCCAGACUCCUACGGGAGGCAGCAGUAGGGAAUCUUCCGCAAUGGGCGAAAGCCUGACGGAGCAACGCCGCGUGAGUGAUGAAGGUCUUCGGAUCGUAAAACUCUGUUAUUAGGGAAGAACAUAUGUGUAAGUAACUGUGCACAUCUUGACGGUACCUAAUCAGAAAGCCACGGCUAACUACGUGCCAGCAGCCGCGGUAAUACGUAGGUGGCAAGCGUUAUCCGGAAUUAUUGGGCGUAAAGCGCGCGUAGGCGGUUUUUUAAGUCUGAUGUGAAAGCCCACGGCUCAACCGUGGAGGGUCAUUGGAAACUGGAAAACUUGAGUGCAGAAGAGGAAAGUGGAAUUCCAUGUGUAGCGGUGAAAUGCGCAGAGAUAUGGAGGAACACCAGUGGCGAAGGCGACUUUCUGGUCUGUAACUGACGCUGAUGUGCGAAAGCGUGGGGAUCAAACAGGAUUAGAUACCCUGGUAGUCCACGCCGUAAACGAUGAGUGCUAAGUGUUAGGGGGUUUCCGCCCCUUAGUGCUGCAGCUAACGCAUUAAGCACUCCGCCUGGGGAGUACGACCGCAAGGUUGAAACUCAAAGGAAUUGACGGGGACCCGCACAAGCGGUGGAGCAUGUGGUUUAAUUCGAAGCAACGCGAAGAACCUUACCAAAUCUUGACAUCCUUUGACAACUCUAGAGAUAGAGCCUUCCCCUUCGGGGGACAAAGUGACAGGUGGUGCAUGGUUGUCGUCAGCUCGUGUCGUGAGAUGUUGGGUUAAGUCCCGCAACGAGCGCAACCCUUAAGCUUAGUUGCCAUCAUUAAGUUGGGCACUCUAAGUUGACUGCCGGUGACAAACCGGAGGAAGGUGGGGAUGACGUCAAAUCAUCAUGCCCCUUAUGAUUUGGGCUACACACGUGCUACAAUGGACAAUACAAAGGGCAGCGAAACCGCGAGGUCAAGCAAAUCCCAUAAAGUUGUUCUCAGUUCGGAUUGUAGUCUGCAACUCGACUACAUGAAGCUGGAAUCGCUAGUAAUCGUAGAUCAGCAUGCUACGGUGAAUACGUUCCCGGGUCU